rnacentral:pre_miRNA from 1 species
AAUAAGAUCAUUUUUUAAUUUUUAGAUAUAAUGUUUUAACUCUUCGUCUUAUUUAAAAUUUUGUUGCGAUUAAUAUUUUUAUUGUUAAUAGAUGAUAAAAUAUGAAUAGUACUUUAUGAAUGACUAAUUUUUUUUAGAUUUUGUACAAAUUUUUCAAAUAAGACGAAUGGUCAAAGCGUUAUGCACAAAAAUCGAAAAAUGACGUUAUU